UGUGCCUGUAAUCCCAGCUACUCGGGAGGCUGAGGCAGGAGAAUUGCUUGAACCCAGGAGGUAGAGCUUGCGGUGAGCCGAGGUCGUGCCAUUGCACUCCAGCCUGGGUAACAAGAGCGAAACUCUGUCUCAAAAAAAAAAAGUGCAACCCUACCUGCUCAGUGUAUAGCCACCAACAGCUAUAGCUCCUCCCGGAAGCCUGUGCCUUGUAGCCUAUGCCCUGAGCCUUUCUCCUGCUGGUCUACCCCAGGGGCCAUGUUCUUUCUUUUAUCAAGCUCCAGGCUGGCUGAACCUCAUGAGGAUCACACAUGUUGACUUUCUCUUUUGCUUGCCAAUGUGGCCUGGAGGUGAGACUUGUGAAUCUGCUUUAGGGCCAGAUGUGAAAUCCUAACUAGCUGUGACUGAAUUUCCUUGCAUCUUCCAAGAUGUUUUUCAUUGUAAAUGAUCAACAACAAUCAACGUUAUUCCUUUAAGUUACGUACAGUCAGCCUUCAGUUCUUCUCCUUUACUGAGGAUGACGGAGCUGUAAAUAAGGAGAAGACAAACAGCACAAAAAGCAAAUGUUAUUCCUUUUAUUUCUGGAGAUGUCUGACAAGCAGUCUCUCACCUUUGUCUCCACAUGCCUUUGAAACUGUGUUGUAAUGUGUGCUGUGUCAUUUGAAGACACUGUCAAGCAGAUUCUAUUUUACCAAUAAGAACAGUGUUUCAAAUAGGAUGCCAAGGAAGUCAAGAACUAAGUAUCCUGUUAGUCAUAGCUAUGACCUAGCAUGUAUCAUGAAAUACAGAGAAAGCAGUGGAAUUAUGUGAAAGAACGAAGCUGUAAUUAGAGACUGUUAGACCUGGAGAGCGCACAGAAGAUCAUCUGGUCUGAGUCCUGUGUUUUACAGAUGAGAAAACGGGGGUCCUGAGGGUAAGCUGCUUGUGCUAGGAUGCACUGUUAGUUAAUAGUAGAGCCAGGACCAUUGACACCAAGGUCACUGACACUGGCCCAAUGCUUCUUUAACUCUACUGUACUUGGGACUGAGACAGACCUAGGCUGGGAUCCCAGCUCUGCCAUGUAUUAUGUGACCUUGGGCAAGUUAUUCCACUGCUCCAAGCCUCAGUGUUCCUCUAAAGGGCUGAAUUGUGUCCCCUUCAAUUUUAAAUGUUGAAGCCCUAAUCCCAGUACCUCAGAAUGUGACUGUAUUUGGAGAUCGAGCCUUUAAAGAGGUGAUUCAGAAAUAAGACUGUUAGUGGGUCCUCAUCCAAUCGGACAGGUGUCCUUAUGAAAAAAGGAAAUUUGGACACAAGAAAAGACACCAGGUGUGGGUAUGCACAUAGAGGAAAGACCAUAUAAAGACAGUAGGAACAUGGCCAUCCACAAGCCAAGGAGAGAAGCCUCAGGAGAAACCAGACCUGCCGACACCUUGGUCUUGGAUUUCUAGUCUCCAGAACUGUGAGGAAAUGCACUUCUGUUGUUUAAGCCCCCAAGUCUGUGGUAUUUUGUUAUGGCAGCCUGAGCUGACCAAUACAGUCCCCACCUAGAAGGCUGAGAUACGAAUAUUUAACUCAUGGGGUCUGUUGUUCAGAUUAAACGGGAUAAUUAAUCAAAAGAAAUGAAAAACAAUGGCCAAGACACAGUAAGUGCUCAGCAAGUGACAGUUGUUACAGUUAUGCAAAGGGCCAAUUAAGUAUACAUAAACAUUCCACUGUAGCAUAAAUUUGACCUCACUACAAUGAAUUUGCCAGCAGUUCUAGACUAAGCCCCCAGUCUUCUCAGUUUGGUUUGCCUUCUGCUGGUCUUUGAAUGACUCUUGAAGAUAGACCUGGACUGUCUACCCAUAGGUUUUUCAAAGACAGUCGAGAGACACUGAAACUAGUGUCUUCAUUUUAUCUUGAUAACUUUCCCAGCCAUAGUUAGUCAUAUUGGAGUCUUUCCAUUAAGUUGAGACAUCUAUUUAAGAUUCAAAUUGUUCCUUUAAAAAUAGACGUUUGAGAAUGCAAAUAUUUAGAGGCCUCACUAAAGAGUUCAGAUUUUUAAGGAUUUUGAGUGGAGAGAGAUCACGCUUGAAUGUACUCCCUCUGCUCUCUUUUUAAACCUCCAGCAAUUACAACACUGCUUUGCAAAGAGUAAACAUCAGAUGAAAAAAUCUCCCAGGACCGCCUGAGAGGGAAGUGCAGAAGGCAGGAGAAGGGGACUUGCCCCUGACACCUUGGUGGCAGCAUACAAAAUCUGGUGUGUCCCAACAGUGAUUGCUGAAGCCACCUCCUUCCCCCUUGCUCUCCUGCUGUAUAGUGUCGGCAGUGGCCACACCAGACUAAAGGCACCGACUGGUCAGGGACUGGGGCUGCGCAGAGGCAGUGGAGUAUUUCAAGUCCAAGUGCUGAAAUGCUGGAAGUCCUUGUGUGGGAUUAGAAGGGGCAGCUGGCACCCUGUUGGUUCUAUUCUCUGGGUGUGCCUCGGCAGGCAGAAUGCAUUUUGAUUUUCACCUAAAUCCCAGAUUGCAUAAUUCCCACAAGGGCAUCUGAUGUGAACUGAGAUUUCUCCUCUGCACUACUCAACUUUCUGCAAAUCCUGCCUCUUUAUCCUGGCCACUCCCCUCAGACAGGACAGCCAGAGUUUCUGUUUUGCUACUAAAGAAACCAAGGCACUGGGACUUACACUAGACUUAAACUAGCAGGUGCAGCUAAGCUGACCCCGAAGCAAAGAGUUUCUGUACUCGCAAGGCAGAUUUUAUGGGCAUUGUUCAUAAGUAUCUUGUUAACUCUCAAAUACAGGAUCAGAGAAAGUGAUCUGGUCUUAGAAGAAUGCAGACCAGAGACCCUGCAAAAGUCAAAGCCAUGACUGGGCAUAAGUCAUGCACAGGGGCAGCAUCUGUCUGGGUGGAACAUAGUUGUGGUCAUGGCUACAUUACUAAUCUCUUGCUCAGCCAUUUGUUGAAGCAGUCAUUCUUUGGGAAAUGGGAGUUGGACCCUUCCCAUUUCCGAAAUCCAAAAUGCCAUCAGUGAUGUCCUUCUCCAUUUCAGCCCUUUCUGAUGGCUUGUGGUGUCUUACAAGUUGCUGAAAGAAUGUUGCCUGGAGGGAAGCUCUCUGGGUAAAGACAUGCUGUGGAUUCAGUCUUCCAGUGUAGAGUCUCUACAUAGAAGGGUGAUCCAAUAUGAGGCAAAACAGACUCUAAACUGUUGGCCUGCAUAGGUCAUCUGGGGUCAAUGAUUAGAAAUAUGGAAUCUGGGCCUCAUCCCCAGUCUUUCAGAUUCAAUGCGGUCCUGAAAAGGGCCCAGGGAUCUGCAUUUGCAACAAGUGUCUGGGUGACUGAAACAGGAGAUCACGGACACUGUUCUGUGAAGUACUGCUCGGGGCAAUACAGAGUAUUCGUGUUUCUUCCGAUUCUGAGCUUCAGUGCAUCUGGGACCCUUGGUGCCUCAGGUGCCCUUCAGACCUUAAUGGCAAUGUGGCUGAUCUAGGAAGACUGAAACACUCUUGGCCCUACUGCAAACUCUUGAUCCUCUGGUUUUCUGCCAAUAAGAUGAAACACCCCCAUACUUUCAGGUUUAAGGGGAAAGAAACUAUAUGACAGUAGAGGUAAUGUCGAUUUUAAAAAGUGUGCUACCUUAAACUUAGAUAUAAUUUAACAAUAGCUUUCACUUUAUCUUUUGAUUUUCACAGUAACCUCAAUAUAAUUUCACAAUAAGUCAGUUCACUCAUGAAGAAACUGAGGCACAGAGAUAUGUUCUGGAGCAAGCAGUGACAACAUUAUCCUAUUGACUGGGGAGCUGAACUUAGGUUUGGGGUCCUGCUCUUUAAACUGGCCGUUGGAGAAGGGUGCUUGAAGGCCUCACCAAGGAGUUUGGUUGUGGUCUUUAGUUAUGAGGGGUCUCUUGAACAGGAGGGGUCUCCUGACAUUUUCCUUUUUUUAAAUUUUCUCUCUUGUCUGUCCAAACUCUUACAGCACUAGAACUGGGACUGGAGCAUCAUCCAAUCACCAGCCUUGGUUUUGCUACCUGAAGGAAGCUCAGAACCUCUUGCAGUCACAGCAAGGCAUGGCAAGGAAGAAGCUAAUGUGGUGACACUGGGAGCUUUCAUGUCUGCCCUUUGAAUCCAGAAAAGAUGAACUGAGAAUCUAGCAUAUUUUAAAGGUCUACGAAGGAAACAUUUGCCAUCUAUAUUUUCCAAGGGUGACCACCAAGGAGACUUCAUCUACAGAAUAAAAGCCUUCGUCUGCACAACCUCUUAUCUUAACCCAGACGCUUCUUUCUAUUGAUUCCAGGUCUUUAGAUAAUAACUUAACUCUUUCAACCAAUUGCCAGUCAGAAAGUCUUUGAAGCCACCUAUGACUUCUAAGCUCCCUUCCAGUUGUCCUGCUUUUCUGGACCAAACCAAUGUAUACCUCACAUGUAUUGAUUGAUGUCUUCUGUCUUCCUACAACCCUUAACACCAAGCUGUACCCCAACCACCUUGGACACACAUUCUCAGGAUCUCCUGGGGCUAUGUCAUGAGCUGUUGGUCACUCAUAUUUGGCUCAGAAUAAAUCUUUUAAAAUAUUUUACAGAGUUUGCCUUUUUUUCAUCAAUACAGCCUUGGGAUGAUUGCUGGCAUUCUCCACAAUGACACUGCUUUCAAGGACCCAAAGCAUAGCAAGACCUUGAAGUACUUGGGGAAUCGUGAACAAAGAAUCAGUCAAACAGGAAAAGCAGAGCGAAGCAAGUACAACUAGGAAAAUUUCAGUCAUUGAAUUGUUUAAGAGCUUUGGAAAUUGGCUGUUGCUUUACAUUAACUAAUAAUUUGAAUGUAGGUGUGACCCUCAAAUGUGUCUCAACCAUUCUGAAUAAAUUAGAAUAUACUGUUUAUAACAUCUUAUUAUUUUAAUUCCAGUUUGAAGUUUUCACAAACUCCACUGCGUCGACCAUGCAUCGAGCUCUCACCAUGAGCCAAACUGCUUGCGAGACACCAUCUCGAGACACUGUAAUGACCCCCAGAGCAGCACUGUUAGGCAGGCUGUCUUCAUCCUGCAGAUGAGGAACCUGAGGCUCAGACUGGCUGUUGGGCAGCAUGGAGCUUUGGAAGAGCCUGGCCCAGAGCUUGGGAAGACUGAAUUUCCAAACUUUGACUCUUAUAAUUAUGGGACUUUGGGGAAAUUACUCAACGAAAGACAUUGGAACCAGAAUAUUUGGAAAGAAAUCGGUGUUCAUUUUGGCCAAACCAUGUGGGCUUAGUGCAAUCAGAGGAGCACUCGUGCACAAAUGUCUUGUUUCCUAUCAGAUACGCACAUAUUUAUGUGAACUUUGUGACCUCCUUGUUCCCUUUCUUUGGGACAUGGGGAGAGAAAGUGCUAAAGCACACUUUUAAUUGUGCUAGUUCUGGAGUUUGGAAGAGGCUGUCCAAGGAACAAGCUGGACAUGAAUAAUGUAUGACCUGUUCACUCAAAAGCCCCACCACUAAAACCUCAUGGAGCUUGCUACACAUUAUUUUCCAAAUAUCAACUCUGAUUAAAAGGACCGUCUAGCCCACUGACAAUUAUUCAUUGGCUUCUGUACAGUGUAUUAUUGUAUGGCGCUUCCUCAGGAGCUAUAAUUAGGUGAUUGUGUGAGGAGUCCACAGUGUACGUUUGAAUAGUGGUUCUGUUUGGUUCAUGAUGUCACUCAUUCACUCUGGUUCCCUCUCAUCAUUUGGCUGUGGAUGUGGUGUGGUUGGAACUCAAUACAUGUGAAAUUAGACCUUCACCGAGUGUUCUGUGAGUGAAGUAAUGUUAGCACUGAGGAUGAAUCACUUGGGGCAUACCUGAAGUAAUUGCGGCCUAAGUGUCAGAAAUUCUGGGAAUCCCUCUUUUUAGCUGUUCAACCUGGACAAGUCACGCAGCCUUUCAGAGACUUUGUUCAUCUGGAAAUUGGGGUUCAUGGCAUCAGCAACCCAGUGGUUAUAAUGUACAAUGUGUGAAUUACCUCCCUCUUCUUCCCCUCCACUCCUAAUCAACACCGCAUCCCGAGCAUGCCCUGUCUUUAACAUCGCUCAACCCUCCCCACGUUUCUCUGUCUGCAUGGCCACUUCUCUGUUCCCAGCCUUAGACGGGGCUCACUGCACCUGCUCCUGCAGCCGCUAACAGACUGGUUGCUUCUGUGAUGGUCUUUCUGGAUGAUCACAUGGGACAUGUUCUGUAGCUUAGACCCCUCCAGUGAGAUCUCUGGAAGUUUGCAGCUGUACUGCUACCUGAUACUGUGCUCUGAUGAGUCAAAUUCCUUAUCUUGACCUGUAUGCCCCUGUAUGAUCUGUCCCCAUCUAUAUGUAGAGCCUCAUGUUAUGCUAUUAUUCCCUUCACUAUCAGCAUUCCAGGAAAAGCAGCUUAUUUUUAGCAACCAAAAUACAUAAAAUACUCUCCUCUUUAAAGACUUUUGCACUGGAUGUUCCUUCCACCUGGAACCUUUUUCACCCUCCUAUUGGCCCCUUUACAUCCCUACAAAUCCAGAUCAGCAUUCAAGAACUAGCUUAAAGUGUCCUUUCCCUGGGGAAUUCUCACAAGGACCACCCUCUGCCACUGUAUAAAUGCCCAGUAAACAGUCUUACUCCUUCAUAGAACAUAUCACAACUCCAGUGAAAUAAUUACCUGGGUAAAGAUUUCUUUAAAAUCUGUCUCUCCCUCUGAACUGUUUCUUGAAUCUGGCCUUAUUCCCAGCAUACCAUGUGGCUUGUAAUCUUCAUCAAUACACAUUGUACAGGGAAUAAAGUUUGCCAUUCCUCUGUGAACUUAAAUCUGUCAUUUUUUGCAUUGGAAGAUCCUUGAGAGGCACCUUUACUCUUUGUUCUUCAGCCUCCUCUUGGUUAAGAAGAGACAUGGCUUCCUGUGAGGGAGCCCCAUCCCUGGGCUUUGUUAGCCACAAAGGCCUGGCUGGAAAGCACGGUAGGAGGCAGGAAGGGUCAUUGAUCUACUGAAUGGCAGAGCAGGAAAGGAGCUAGGGGCCCAGGAGCCCUACCUCAUUUUACAGAUGGGGAAACCGGGAAGAGAAAUCAAACAUAAUGUCAAAGAGCAGAGCUAAGAAAUAACUUCAAUGAAUAAAAUAUUGUUUCAGCAGGGAUACAUAGAAAAAUAUAUACUUAUACAUGACCUAAUUUGUGUACAGUUUUGUAAUUUUCUUUUUCUGAGACAGUCUCACUCUGUUGUCCAUGCUGGAGUGCAGUGGCACAGUCUUAGCUCACUGCAACCUCUGCCUCCCAGGGUCAAGCAAUUCUCCUAACUCAGCUUCCUGAGUAACUGGGAUUACAGGUGCCCACCACCACACUGGCUAAUUUUUUUUAUUUUUAGGGAGAUGGGGUUUCACCAUGUUGGCCAGGCUGGUCUUGAACUCCUGACCUCAAGUUAUCUGCCUGCCUUGGACUCCCAAAGUUAUGGGAUUACAGGUGUAAGCCACUGCACCUGGCCAAAUUUUGUAAUUUUAAUUGCUAUUGCUUCAUCAAUCUUCAUAGCAGCCUUGAGAAGAAGGCAUUGUUUAUCCUCAUUUUACAGAUGAGAAACAACAGAGAACCUAGGUGACAAAUGGAGUCAACUCAAUUGAGAAGUGCCAAAGCCUGACUGAGUCCCUGUGUUUAUGGUUGCUAGCUGACGGUUUUCCCCACUGUGCUGCUCUGCACCUCUUACAGAUACAUACCCAGGCAACUCCACUUCAGGGAAGAAAUACUGGGCCAGGGAGCCAUAGCUGUGAGCAAAAAUAUGUUCUGCUUCAUUCUCUUCUUCGCUUAUGUGGUGGCUGUGACUUCUGUAACCUGCCCUGCCAUCUGUUAAAUGAAACUGCCUGAGUCACAGGGACAUGAUGGGAAGUCCCUGACUUUGGAGUCAGACUUCCUGGAGUUUAAAUCGUGGCUCUGCCUCUUACAGCUGGGUGACCCCAAACAGGCCAUAGGAAUGGGAGAAGGAGUGAGACCCCGACUAAAAAAAAGAAGAAGACAUAACUGGGACUGGAUAUGUACCUGACCCUGUUGCCUUGCUGAGCCUUGGGCUCCCCUUUGUAAAACUCAGGGACUAAUUGCCUUCCACUAGGUUUGUUGAGGAUUAAAUGAGGUAGUGCUUAUGAGAUACAGAGAAAACAGAAGGCACCAUAAACAUUAUCUUGACAAAGGUAGCAUGGAGCAACCCAGUUGGGAAGAUAAAUUUCAGGAAAGGCCAUCCAUUGGGUGGAAAAAGUACAGGAAUUUGUCAGAAGGGCAAAGUGAAUGCCAGGGGUACAGUUAAAGGGGAGCAGGCUUGCAGCUGAUAUGAAUUAUCCUUUAACUGCAGGUCUUACUGGCUGUCUCCUCAUUUCAAAUCCGCAACCCCAUCUGUUAUCCCUUUGCAUCCAUUUGUGUCCAUGUGCGUUUGUGUGUGUGCAUAUUUGUACUUGUGGGUGUGUGCACACUUACUCAGAGAGUGUCUGGGAGCAGAGGCCAGGCAACCUCCUAACAGCUUCCAGACUGCAGGCACCAUCAGCACAUUUACAUAUCCCCAUUCUGUAUUUGAAUGGGGAACGUUAAAAAAGUGAGAAAAUGUUUAUAAACUAAUUUUACUGUCCAUCUGAACAGUUUCAUUCCCAAAGCCAUUUGGAAGCUUUUGUUUUUCUAAGCUGUGACUCUGCAAAAUUUUUCCAGAAAUGGUCCUUUAAGGAACUCACACAACUGGUCUGUAUAUACUAUCAUUUUAUGAGCACCCUUUCCACAAUCUAGAAGUCAAAGUCUGAAAACACCAUCCCUAAAUGUUAAACUUGAAAAUACUAAUUUUGAAUGGUUUUUCGUUACUGACAUUUAAAUUACAAUUUCAUGGCAGACUCUGAAGAAAGGAGGAGGGGUUGCAGAAAUAGGUGGCAGGUGAUUAAAGUAGAGCAAAUCAGUUGAAAAACAGAAGAGCCCAAGUCAUUCGUGGGGAAACAUAGAGAAAAGCCAGAACCUCCCAGAUUUUCAGGCAGACGGAAGUCAUGCCCUGGGGGAUUUACCAGGUCCCAGUGCUGUGCCUCACCCUGCAGCCUCUGUCAUUGCAUUUUGUUUACAGAUCAAGGGCAGGUCCAGGGGCAGACCCAUCAUCCUCAACUUCCCAAGACUAAGAUGAAAGCAAAAGCUAGAUUAGUUCAUUUCCAGCGAGAAAUCAAAAUCACCAUAGCUAGGUCUGGAAUCUCACGCUGGCAUAUCAAGCUCUUUUUCUCUGUGCAUUGAGCUGGCUCACAGGAAUCGAAUGUCUAAUGGUGGGUGGGGGGAAGGGUUAGAAGAAAGCAUCAGAGCAGGCCAUGCCCUCGGGGCCCAAAGUUAUGAAGUUCCCAAGUCAAGGCUCUGGUUCCUUGAUAAGUGAUAUGGUUUGACUCUAUGUCCCCACCCAAACCUCAUGUUGAAUUGUAAUCCCCAAUGUUGGGGGGAGGGACCUGGUGAGAGAUGAUUUGAUCAUUGGGGUUAAUUUCCUGCUUGUUGUUCUUGUUCUAGUGAGUUCUCAUGAGAUCUGGUUGUUUGAAAGUGUGUAGCACCUCCCCUUUGCUCUCUCUUUCUCUCCUGCUGCUAUGUGAAGACGUGCUUACUUCCCUUUCUCCCUUCUGCCAUGAUUGUAAGUUUCCUGGGGCCUCCCCAGAAGCAAAAGCCUUUGUAGUCCACAGAACCAUGAGCCAAUUAAACCUUUUAUCAUUAUAAAUUAAA